UCAAACUGGGAUUAGAUACCCCACUAUUUUUAGUUGUAAAUUUAGUUUAAGCUUACCAGAGUACUACGAAUAAAAAAGUUUAAAACUCAAAGGGCUUGGCGGUGUUUUAGACCUCUCAGGGGAACCUGUCUCGUAAUCGACAGUCCGCGUUAAACCUAACCUUUUAUAGCAAUACAGCUUGUAUACCGUCGUCGUCAGGUAACUUCUUAAAAUAUAGUAGUUAGCCCGAGAAUCAAGUUAAUUAGGACGUCAGAUCAAGGUGCAGCCAAUAAAGAGGUGAGGAUGGGUUACAAUUACAUAUUUGUAAAUACGGAAAAUAUUUGAAAUAUAGUAUCAUAAAGGAGGACUUGAAAGUAAUUUUAGUUAUAUGGAUAAAAUGAAUAUGGCUCUGAAACGUGCACACACCGCCCGUCACCCUCUGCAGUCAAAAA
rnacentral:rRNA from 1 species